ensembl:lncRNA
AUCUGAGUGACCAGCAGGGGUGGAGCCUGGAUCCAUCCCUCCUCACCCUCAUUUAAGGGUUAGCAGUCAAGAGAGCACCAUUUCUUUGGAUAGAGGCUGGACUUCUCUCAAGCUGUCACUGGGCAUCAGAUGGGCACUUCUGGGUCUCGAAGGACUUACCAGCCUGAAUCCAGCAACAGGAUCCUGCCAAAGACUUUUGGCCUGGCCCUGGAAAUCAAAUAUCUUGGUUUGCAUGGCUUCAGAUGUAAGAAACACAAUGGUGUCGAGCUGCCUUUGAAGGAACUCAGCUGGGUGCCUUUGCUUUACCAGGAAGGUUUAGCUGCAGAGGGACAAACCACCCAUCCGUUACUCACUCAUAACUGGAGACUUGGCAGAGUUUCUCUCUCUUUCUCCUCUGGCCAGUGCUGGGGUGAGGAAGGGGAAUGAUUAGCAAGAUUAAUCUCCUGUAGACUAGAUGGACGUGUAAUCUUAUGCACUAUCUUCAAGACAGACUGGGUUGAUGUUAUUGUUUCCUUUUCAUCUGAGUUUACAUCUUCACAAGCAAAGGCAAUAAGAUGGAAGUAGGCAUGAAGGGAAAAAUAUGAAGGAGAAACGAAGCUGAAAAAAAAAAGAAAAAAGAGAAAAAAAAGAAAAUGCACUAAAAAAAAAAUCCAAGAAAAAGGACAGUGCUUUUAUUCUGCAGAUUCAGUGGGGGCAGGUGUAAAGCUGAGAAGUGUCUGUAAAGAUCUCCUAAACACCGUACUAACUAAAGUUUCCUGACUUUCCCAAGGAUGACUGUAUCUCAGUGUGUGCGUGGCUGGAGAAAUCACAACUUUACACGUGGUAUUUCAGCUUGCAGUUCCAAGCACCUCAAUUUCCUUGUGUUCACCAGUUUUCCCUGAGGGUAAAAGAGCCUGUGGAGCAAGACGGAUCAAUUGUCUUUAGAGCUGGUCAGAUUCAUGGCAUCAGUGAACCAUUCCCAAAGCGGAGACCCACAUGUUGAGGCUGCCAGAAAGCACAGGAUCCUCUCCUGCCUCAGGACACCACACUGCUGCCCUG